rnacentral:misc_RNA from 1 species
GAUGAAGAACGCAGCAAAAUGCGAUAAGUAAUGUGAAUUGCAGAAUUCAGUGAAUCAUCGAAUCUUUGAACGCACAUUGCGCCCGCUGGUAUUCCGGCGGGCAUGCCUGUUCGAGCGUCAUUUCAACCCUCAAGCCCCCGGGUUUGGUGUUGGGGAUCGGCUCUGCCCUUCUGGGCGGUGCCGCCCCCGAAAUACACUGGCGGUCUCGCUGCAGCCUCCAUUGCGUAGUAGCUAACACCUCGCAACUGGAACGCGGCGCGGCCAUGCCGUAAAACCCCAACUUCUGAAUGUUGACCUCGGAUCAGGUAGGAAUACCCGCUGAACUUAAGCAUAUCAAUAAGCGGAGGA